rnacentral:rRNA from 1 species
GAGUUUGAUCCUGGCUCAGAUUGAACGCUGGCGGCAGGCCUAACACAUGCAAGUCGAGCGGAUGACGGGAGCUUGCUCCUUGAUUCAGCGGCGGACGGGUGAGUAAUGCCUAGGAAUCUGCCUGGUAGUGGGGGACAACGUUUCGAAAGGAACGCUAAUACCGCAUACGUCCUACGGGAGAAAGCAGGGGACCUUCGGGCCUUGCGCUAUCAGAUGAGCCUAGGUCGGAUUAGCUAGUUGGUGGGGUAAUGGCUCACCAAGGCGACGAUCCGUAACUGGUCUGAGAGGAUGAUCAGUCACACUGGAACUGAGACACGGUCCAGACUCCUACGGGAGGCAGCAGUGGGGAAUAUUGGACAAUGGGGGAAACCCUGAUCCAGCAACGCCGCGUGAGUGAUGAAGGCCUUCGGGUCGUAAGC